rnacentral:rRNA from 1 species
AGCAGCAGCCGCGGUAAUACAGAGGGUGCGAGCGUUAAUCGGAUUUACUGGGCGUAAAGCGUGCGUAGGCGGCUUUUUAAGUCGGAUGUGAAAUCCCUGAGCUUAACUUAGGAAUUGCAUUCGAUAAUGGGAAGCUAGAGUAUGGGAGAGGAUGGUAGAAUUCCAGGUGUAGCGGUGAAAUGCGUAGAGAUCUGGAGGAAUACCGAUGGCGAAGGCAGCCAUCUGGCCUAAUACUGACGCUGAGGUACGAAAGCAUGGGGAGCAAACAGGAUUAGAUACCCCGGUAGUCCCUGUCUCUUAUAU